UACGAAGGGGGCUAGCGUUGCUCGGAAUCACUGGGCGUAAAGGGUGCGUAGGCGGGUCUUUAAGUCAGGGGUGAAAUCCCGAGGCUCAACCUCGGAACUGCCUUUGAUACUGGCAAUCUCGAGUCCGGAAGAGGUGAGUGGAAUUCCUAGUGUAGAGGUGAAAUUCGUAGAUAUUAGGAAGAACACCAGUGGCGAAGGCGGCUCACUGGUCCGGUACUGACGCUGAGGUGCGAAAGCGUGGGGAGCAAACAGG
rnacentral:rRNA from 1 species